AGGCAUACCAGUAGACCUUGUCUGACUGUGUUCAUAGCCAGGCAGGGGGGACAGUGUAUGCAAGAGUUAAUUUGGAGUUCUUGCCAGCUGUAGCCAGCUGAAUCAGUAGCUGGGUAAAUUGCUGCACUCCAACAUGA
rnacentral:snoRNA from 13 species